rnacentral:rRNA from 1 species
UACGUAGGGUGCAAGCGUUAAUCGGAAUUACUGGGCGUAAAGCGUGCGCAGGCGGCUUUGCAAGACAGAUUUGAAAUCCCCGGGCUCAACCUGGGAACUGCAUUUGUGACUGCAUGGCUGGAGUGCGGCAGAGGGGGAUGGAAUUCCGCGUGUAGCAGUGAAAUGCGUAGAUAUGCGGAGGAACACCGAUGGCGAAGGCAAUCCCCUGGGCCUGCACUGACGCUCAUGCACGAAAGCGUGGGGAGCAAACAGG